rnacentral:rRNA from 1 species
GCAGCCGCCGCGGUAAUACGAGGGGGGCAAGCGUUGUUCGGAUUUAUUGGGCGUAAAGGGUGCGUAGGCGGUUUGAUAAGUCUUGUGUGAAAUCUCUGGGCUCAACCCAGAGUCUGCACGAGAAACUGUCGGGCUUGAGUAAUGGAGAGGUGAGUGGAAUUUCCGGUGUAGCGGUGAAAUGCGUAGAUAUCGGAAGGAACACCUGUGGCGAAAGCGGCUCACUGGACAUUUACUGACGCUGAUGCACGAAAGCUAGGGGAGCAAACAGGAUUAGAGACCCCCGUAGUCCCUGUCUCUUAUAC